AUCUGGCAAGAAGACUGAACCAGAAGUGAAGCACCUGAAGCAAUGAACCAUCCGUCCAUCCUUGACACCACAGUGCGAGGCCGCCGGCCGUGAAGAGCGGACGUGAGCUUGGAGUUGUGUUUCCCUGACAUUACGCUGAAGGAAGGCGCAGACAUCACCUAUGGAGAGAUGGCAAUAUGGACAGUGAAGAGUGCAGAUGAACUCUCCAAGGGAAGAAGAGCUGAACUAGUAUUGGGCAGAAGCUUCAAACAUGGAUAUUAAUCCCACCUCCAGGAACACUUCACUGGAUCCUAUGACACUGCAGGUCCUGAGAAGAGUUAACUGUACUACAAGGAAAACUCUCCAAGCAGAUUGUGAACAUCAGCUUGCCAUGAUGUCAGCUACUUCUGAACUCCAAGGUAGAAGAAGCAACAGCACCUAAGACCUCUCCUGUCAGCAUGAUGUCCAAGGUAAUGGCCCAAGAAGAUGUCCAACAGCACCAGUGUGGGACUGUAUUCCUCUCCAGCUACUGGCUCAAGAAGAUGUCCAACAGCACCAGUGCGGGGCUGUGCAGGGGAUUGUAUUUCUCUCCAGCUACUGGCUCAAGAAGAUGUCCAACAGCACCAGUGUGGGGCUGUGCAGGGGAUUGUAUUUCUCUCCAGCUACUGGCUCAAGAAGAUGUCCAACAGCACCAGUGUGGGGGUUGUGCAGGCGAUUGUAU